AUAUAUAUAUACACACGAUAUUUUUAUACUACCCAUCAUCGAGAUAGAGUUGUCGUGCAUACCGAGAACCUCUAGAAGCUUCUCGAAUUUUGUGUUAUCGAGACUCUUUGUGAGAAUGUCAACGCCGGCAGCAGUGGAGGCGAUGUAGGACGCGAGCUGCCACGCGUCAGGGUACGGUGUGGAGUGGAGGCGGGACAAGAGAUGCAGUGUGGAGUCCCCUCUGAAACUACCAUGCUUUUCUUUGACCUAAGAGGUACAGGUGCUCCAAGCAGGCAGAUCACUGUACCACGGCUAAUCGAUCCUUGGAAGGCACAAACAUGGCAACGAGAAACUUGCCAAGAAAAGAAAGGGCAAAACAAAAAGGAAAAUUCAUGCGUCAGGGAGCUCAGGAGUACCAUGUUCCAAAGGGGGCGCAUGCAGCAGCAGGCCAUUGGAAUCCAAGCUCGGGGACAAGAUAAGGCUCUGAUAGGGACUUGAGCUAGCUAGCUAGCCGCCGUGCACUUGGUGGGAGAAAUAAAGCCGCCGCGUUCACUCCCCCUCGCUGCUGGGCUGCCUGCUGUCUCUCUUGGCAAGGGAGCAACGGAAAGAACGGCAGGGGAGAUGAACGAACGGACGGACGGGACGGAUCACAGAUGGCGAGGAGGAGGAGAUGCUGAGAUGUGAAGAAUUCACGUGAGAACAUUAUUCCGGACGGGGACGUGUGCUGGGGAGAAAAGAUUGGAUUUUUUUUUCUCUCUAGAGAAUUUGUUCGUAAUUUUCUUCUGACUUUUUUAGGUUACAACACACUCCCUACGCUACACGUGCGCACCCGCAAGUCUUAAACGCGAUUCGAACGCGGGCAGGCAACAUCGUGCCACGCGAUGCUGCCAACCGAGCUUAGUUUUCUUCUAGCUGAGAGCGGUAGCUCAUAAUGUAAUAUUCUAGUGAUGUCUUGCAAUCAUGCAGCUCCUAGCUUACCAAUUCUAUACUUGACUA